rnacentral:rRNA from 2 species
AACAACGGAGAGUUUGAUCCUGGCUCAGGAUGAACGCUAGCGACAGGCCUAACACAUGCAAGUCGAGGGGCAACGGGGAUGUUAGCUUGCUAAUAUCUGCCGGCGACCGGCGCACGGGUGAGUAACGCGUAUGCGACCUGCCCGUCACAGGGGGAUAAUCCGGAGAAAUCCGGUCUAAUACCGCAUAAUAUCGUGAAGCUGCAUGGUUUUGCGAUUAAAGGAGCGAUCCGGUGACGGAUGGGCAUGCGUGACAUUAGCUAGUCGGCGGGGUAACGGCCCACCGAGGCGACGAUGUCUAGGGGUUCUGAGAGGAAGGUCCCCCACACUGGUACUGAGACACGGACCAGACUCCUACGGGAGGCAGCAGUGAGGAAUAUUGGUCAAUGGGCUUACGCCUGAACCAGCCAAGUCGCGUGAGGGAAGACUGCCCUAUGGGUUGUAAACCUCUUUUGUCAGGGAGCAAUUGGCGCUACGUGUAGCGUUAUCGAGAGUACCUGAAGAAAAAGCAUCGGCUAACUCCGUGCCAGCAGCCGCGGUAAUACGGAGGAUGCGAGCGUUAUCCGGAUUUAUUGGGUUUAAAGGGUGCGUAGGCGGAAUGCCAAGUCAGCGGUAAAAUCGCGGGGCUCAACCUCGCUCCGCCGUUGAAACUGGCGUUCUUGAGUGGGCGAGAAGUAUGCGGAAUGCGUGGUGUAGCGGUGAAAUGCAUAGAUAUCACGCAGAACUCCGAUUGCGAAGGCAGCAUACCGGCGCCCAACUGACGCUGAAGCACGAAAGCGUGGGUAUCGAACAGGAUUAGAUACCCUGGUAGUCCACGCAGUAAACGAUGAAUACUAGCUGUUCGGGGCAAAUGAGCCUUGAGUGGCACAGCGAAAGCGUUAAGUAUUCCACCUGGGGAGUACGCCGGCAACGGUGAAACUCAAAGGAAUUGACGGGGGCCCGCACAAGCGGAGGAACAUGUGGUUUAAUUCGAUGAUACGCGAGGAACCUUACCCGGGCUCAAACGCAACCGGAAUGUAUCCGAAAGGGUACAGCUCUACGGAGUCGGUUGCGAGGUGCUGCAUGGUUGUCGUCAGCUCGUGCCGUGAGGUGUCGGCUUAAGUGCCAUAACGAGCGCAACCCCUAUCGACAGUUGCUAACGAGUGAAGUCGAGGACUCUGUCGAGACUGCCGGCGCAAGCUGUGAGGAAGGCGGGGAUGACGUCAAAUCAGCACGGCCCUUACGUCCGGGGCGACACACGUGUUACAAUGGCGACUACAGCGGGAAGCCACUUGGCGACAAGGAGCGGAACCCGAAAAGUCGUCUCAGUUCGGAUUGGAGUCUGCAACUCGACUCCAUGAAGCUGGAUUCGCUAGUAAUCGCGCAUCAGCCAUGGCGCGGUGAAUACGUUCCCGGGCCUUGUACACACCGCCCGUCAAGCCAUGGAAGCCGGGGGUGCCUGAAGUGCGUGACCGCAAGGAGCGCCCUAAGGUAAAACCGGUGACUGGGGCUAAGUCGUAACAAGGUAGCCGUACCGGAAGGUGCGGCUGGAACACCUCCUUUCU